rnacentral:lncRNA from 1 species
AAGGGAACACCCAAAAGAGGAAGAAACGACCUGCGGCCAACUUGUACCACUACCUGUUCCAGCAGGUAAGACACUGCAAACAUUCCUAGGAUUCCAUGGAAGCAAGAUGCAAAUAGAAGGAAAGACUGCUCAUGGCCUCAUUUCAAUCCUCAAAACAUACUUGGCUGUUUCAGUAGAGGACUCCAUCAUUACUGGGCGCAAGUAGAAGGUACCAUCAUUUCACCUAGAAGGCACCUGCCACAGAUUCACACUGAUCAAACGGGAGGGAAACAGUCUCCUCUGAAGACAAAGACUUGGCUGCGCGUUCUGGCCCACUCCAGACAGAUGCAAACACCUGCCUGUUUCUUCCCUGCAGUCCGUAUUGCAUCAUGAACUUCUAGUGCC